GCACAAGCGGUGGAUGAUGUGGUUUAAUUCGAUGCAACGACGAAAACCUUACCCACCUUUGACAUGGCAGGAAUCCCGAAGAGAUUUGGGAGUGCUCGAAAGAGAACCUGCACACAGGUGCUGCAUGGCUGUCGUCAGCUCGUGUCGUGAGAUGUUGGGUUAAGUCCCGCAACGAGCGCAACCCUUGCCAUUAGUUGCUACGAAAGGGCACUCUAAUGGGACUGCCGGUGACAAACCGGAGGAAGGUGGGGAUGACGUCAAGUCCUCAUGGCCCUUAUAGGUGGGGCUACACACGUCAUACAAUGGCCGGUACAGAGGGUAGCCAACCCGCGAGGGGGAGCCAAUCCCACAAAGCCGGUCGUAGUCCGGAUCGCAGUCUGCAACUCGACUGCGUGAAGUCGGAAUCGCUAGUAAUCGCGGAUCAGCAUGUCGCGGUGAAUACGUUCCCGGGUCUU
rnacentral:rRNA from 1 species